rnacentral:rRNA from 1 species
UACGUAGGGUGCAAGCGUUGUCCGGAAUUAUUGGGCGUAAAGAGCUCGUAGGCGGCUCGUCGCGUCUGCUGUGAAAGCCCGGGGCUUAACCCCGGGUCUGCAGUGGGUACGGGCGGGCUAGAGUGCGGUAGGGGAGACUGGAAUUCCUGGUGUAGCGGUGAAAUGCGCAGAUAUCAGGAGGAACACCGGUGGCGAAGGCGGGUCUCUGGGCCGUAACUGACGCUGAGGAGCGAAAGCCAGGGGAGCAAACGGG